rnacentral:lncRNA from 1 species
UGGAGGAAGAGGAGGGUGGAGGAAAAGGAAGGGCGAGCAGGACUAAACUCUAUUCACUUUUUAAAAACACUUUUACAACAGAGAAGACAUGAAGAUCAGCCUGGCUCACAUCCUCAUAUCUGUGCAGAUGUUUGAAGCCUGUGCUGAGCUGAUCUUCCAGCGUUUGAUGGAGGGUCAGUCCUUCAGCCUCUCCUGCUCUCCUCAGCAGGACCUCUCCUCUCUGGCUGCUGUCUAUCUUUACCACCGCACCGCACAGAGCCAGACUACACUGCUGUCCAUGGCUGAUGAAGGCCAGGUCAGAGUCGACCCAGAGAGAGGGCAGCGUCUGAAGCUCAGUGGAAAGAUGAACUCCAGAAAGGUCAAUGUGACUGUUUCUCACUUGCAGUGCAGUGAUGCAGGACUCUAUAUGUGGGAGUUGAACUACAAGUGGGAAAACAGCUCCCAUCUCAUCAUCCCCAGUCCUCACAUGGUCUUUUUACUGGUGGAGGGGGCAGGCAGCUCGUGCAGGUGCUCCUCCAGUUACCGUCCUCUGUUGAUGACCAUUUUCUCAGCUGCUGGCCUUCUUCUGCUGAUUCUCACAUGGCUGGCCAUCGACAAAUGUGUGAAAGCAAGGCGCCAUGGCAGACCACAACCUCAUGUUUCCAUCUAUGAGGAAAUGAGCUGGAAGCAGCAGACCCCUGGGAGAGCCCAGAAUAACCAUGAGCUCCCUUCACAUCUGGAGGAAGUCCCCUUUCCCGUGUACGCCAACCCAAACCGACCGCAGCAGGACAACUACUACGCCUGUCCUAGGCAGCUGGGCCACACUAACUGUCAUGUAUAAGCA